GUUCGGUGGACUCUCAGGGGACAUGGCCGCCGAGUUGCGGGGACGGACUUCCGGACACCUGUGUAUGUCAAGUGCGCGGAUUAAUGGCGCCUCGCUGGCGUAAACACCACAACAGACCUGUUCAGUGUUAACAACUGACUUGGCACACUCUCAGAGAAAAUGACCUUAAAAGGACUUGAAAAGGGCUGGAAUAGUUUGGCAGUUCCUGCUUCAAAACCACCGCUGACCACGUGCUGCCAACAGGAGAGGAUGGCCACAGGAGGGCGACAAAGACCUUUGCAAAACUCCCUCAAACUCACCCAGAAGAGCUGGCGUUUCACGGGAUCAAACUCUUCCAUCACCAAAGGAGAACGUCAUCGUCCACACAGCGCUUGUUCUGGAACCAGACCCGGAUCACCCGGGGGCUCAGGCCGGUCAUCUCCACCAGCUGCUCCUUCAUCAGCGCGUCCGGCCUCGGGUUGGCGUUGUAGCAGGUCCGCAACGUGUGCAGCUGCUU